UAACCUGCCCAAGAGAUCGGGAUAACACCUGGAAACAGAUGCUAAUACCGGAUAACAACAGAUGAUGCCUAUCAACUGUUUAAAAGAUGGUUCUGCUAUCACUCUUGGAUGGACCUGCGGUGCAUUAGCUAGUUGGUAGGGUAACGGCCUACCAAGGCGAUGAUGCAUAGCCGAGUUGAGAGACUGAUCGGCCACAGUUGGGACUGAGCACGGCCCAAACUCCUACGGGGGAGGCAGCAGCG
rnacentral:rRNA from 1 species